rnacentral:rRNA from 1 species
AGUAACACGUGGGUAACCUGCCUGUAAGACUGGGAUAACUCCGGGAAACCGGGGCUAAUACCGGAUGGUUGUUUGAACCGCAUGGUUCAGACAUAAAAGGUGGCUUCGGCUACCACUUACAGAUGGACCCGCGGCGCAUUAGCUAGUUGGUGAGGUAACGGCUCACCAAGGCAACGAUGCGUAGCCGACCUGAGAGGGUGAUCGGCCACACUGGGACUGAGACACGGCCCAGACUCCUACGGGAGGCAGCAGUAGGGAAUCUUCCGCAAUGGACGAAAGUCUGACGGAGCAACGCCGCGUGAGUGAUGAAGGUUUUCGGAUCGUAAAGCUCUGUUGUUAGGGA